rnacentral:rRNA from 1 species
GGUUGAUCCUGCCAGUAGUCAUAUGCUUGUCUUAAAGACUAAGCCAUGCAUGUCUAAGUAUAAGUAUUAUACAGCGAAACUGCGAAUGGCUCAUUAAAACAGUUAUAGUUUAUUUGAUAAUUCUUUUACAUGGAUAACCGUGGGAAAUCUAGAGCUAAUACAUGCAUAAAGACCUGACUCUCGGAAAGGUUGUAUUUAUUAGAUAGAAACCAAUACCUUCGGGUGUUGUGAUGAUUCAUAAUAACUGAUCGGAUCGCAGCUCGUUCUGCGAUGAAUCAUUCAAGUUUCUGCC